GCACUGGCCCAACUGAUUGAUGGUGCUUGCACCUGAUUGACGAUGGAUCACCAGUGAGUGGCGGACGGGUGAGUAACACGUAGGUAACCUGCCCUGGAGCGGGGGAUAACAUUUGGAAACAGAUGCUAAUACCGCAUAGCAACAAAAGCCACAUGGCUUUUGUUUGAAAGAUGGCUUUGGCUAUCACUCUGGGAUGGACCUGCGGUGCAUUAGCUAGUUGGUAAGGUAACGGCUUACCAAGGCGAUGAUGCAUAGCCGAGUUGAGAGACUGAUCGGCCACAAUGGAACUGAGACACGGUCCAUACUCCUACGGGAGGCAGCAGUAGGGAAUCUUCCACAAUGGGCGCAAGCCUGAUGGAGCAACACCGCGUGAGUGAAGAAGGGUUUCGACUCGUAAAGCUCUGUUGUUGGAGAAGAACGUGCGUGAGAGUAACUGUUCACGCAGUGACGGUAUCCAACCAGAAAGUCACGGCUAACUACGUGCCAGCAGCCGCGGUAAUACGUAGGUGGCAAGCGUUAUCCGGAUUUAUUGGGCGUAAAGCGAGCGCAGGCGGUUGCUUAGGUCUGAUGUGAAAGCCUUCGGCUUAACCGAAGAAGUGCAUCGGAAACCGGGCGACUUGAGUGCAGAAGAGGACAGUGGAACUCCAUGUGUAGCGGUGGAAUGCGUAGAUAUAUGGAAGAACACCAGUGGCGAA
rnacentral:rRNA from 1 species